rnacentral:rRNA from 1 species
CCUACGGGAGACAGCAGUGAGGAAUAUUGGUCAAUGGCCGUAAGGCUGAACCAGCCAAGUCGCGUGAAGGAAGAAGGAUCUAUGGUUUGUAAACUUCUUUUAUAGGGGAAUAAAGGUAUCCACGUGUGGAUAUUUGCAUGUACCCUAUGAAUAAGCAUCGGCUAACUCCGUGCCAGCAGCCGCGGUAAUACGGAGGAUGCGAGCGUUAUCCGGAUUUAUUGGGUUUAAAGGGUGCGUAGGUUGUUUUUUAAGUCAGCGGUGAAAGUUUGUGGCUCAACCAUAAAAUUGCCGUUGAAACUGGAAGACUUGAGUGUGUUUGAGGUAGGCGGAAUGCGUGGUGUAGCGGUGAAAUGCAUAGAUAUCACGCAGAACUCCGAUUGCGAAGGCAGCUUACUAAGCCAUAACUGACACUGAAGCACGAAAGCGUGGGGAUCGAACAGGAUUAGAUACCCGAGUAGUC